UACGUAGGCAGCAAGCGUUGUUCGGAGUACUGGGCGUAAAGGGUGUGUAGGCGGUGGAUAGAGUGGUGUGAAAUCGCCCGGCUUAACGUGGGAGGUGCGCUACAGACUGUCUGGACUGGAGUGUGGGAUGGGUAAGUGGAAUCCGGUGUGAGCGGUGAAAUGCGUAGAUAUCAGGAGGAACACCGGUGGUGUAGACGGCUUACUGGACCAUAACUGACGCUGGAGACACGAAAGCCGUGGGUAGCA
rnacentral:rRNA from 1 species